rnacentral:rRNA from 1 species
GAUGAACGCUGACGGAAUGCUUAACACAUGCAAGUCUUUGGCGAAGCUGUGCUUGCACAGCCUAGCCAAGGCGGACGGGUGAGUAACGCGUAAAGAACUUGCCUCACAGUUAGGGACAACAUUUGGAAACGAAUGCUAAUACCUGAUAUUAUGAUUUUAGGGCAUCCUAAGAUUAUGAAAGCUAUAUGCGCUGUGAGAGAGCUUUGCGUCCCAUUAGCUAGUUGGAGAGGUAACGGCUCACCAAGGCGAUGAUGGGUAGCCGGCCUGAGAGGGUGAACGGCCACAAGGGGACUGAGACACGGCCCUUACUCCUACGGGAGGCAGCAGUGGGGAAUAUUGGACAAUGGACCAAAAGUCUGAUCCAGCAAUUCUGUGUGCACGAUGACGUUUUUCGGAAUGUAAAGUGCUUUCAGUUGGGAAGAAAAAAAUGACGGUACCAACAGAAGAAGUGACGGCUAAAUACGUGCCAGCAGCCGCGGUAAUACGUAUGUCACAAGCGUUAUCCGGAUUUAUUGGGCGUAAAGCGCGUCUAGGUGGUUAUGUAAGUCUGAUGUGAAAAUGCAGGGCUCAACUCUGUAUUGCGUUGGAAACUGCAUGACUAGAGUACUGGAGAGGUAAGCGGAACUACAAGUGUAGAGGUGAAAUUCGUAGAUAUUUGUAGGAAUGCCGAUGGGGAAGCCAGCUUACUGGACAGAUACUGACGCUAAAGCGCGAAAGCGUGGGUAGCAAACAGG